GACGAACGCUGGCGGCGUGCUUAACACAUGCAAGUCGAACGGAAAGGCCCUGCUUUUGUGGGGUGCUCGAGUGGCGAACGGGUGAGUAACACGUGAGUAACCUGCCCUUGACUUUUGGAUAACUUCAGGAAACUGGGGCUAAUACCGGAUAGGAGCUCCUGCUGCAUGGUGGGGGUUGGAAAGUUUCGGCGGUUGGGGAUGGACUCGCGGCUUAUCAGCUUGUUGGUGGGGUAGUGGCUUACCAAGGCUUUGACGGGUAGCCGGCCUGAGAGGGUGACCGGCCACAUUGGGACUGAGAUACGGCCCAGACUCCUACGGGAGGCAGCAGUGGGGAAUAUUGCACAAUGGGCGGAAGCCUGAUGCAGCAACGCCGCGUGCGGGAUGACGGCCUUCGGGUUGUAACCCGCUUUCGCCUGUGACGAAGCGUGAGUGACGGUAAUGGGUAAAGAAGCACCGGCUAACUACGUG
rnacentral:rRNA from 1 species